AAGUGCACCACCACCACAUCAGAAGCCUUGAAGAUGAUGCUUUCCACAAUGUCUUCCUGUCGUGGGCCCUCGCUGGGCUUAGGGAUCUUCCUAUGGGCUGCAUCUAGGACCAUGUCACACUGGGUGGACAAAGAGUGGAAUAACUCCAUUGGCAGUCUGAACAACACAUUUUAAAGACAUGCUCCAUAACUUUGACUACCCCUCCGCAUGUCACUCAAGGAGAGCUGUUUAUUGCGCUACCACCAGAGAUGGAAGAGAAAGCAAGACACCCCACUCGCUGGUUUUUUUCUGGUUCAAUGAAAGUAAAUUAACUAAGUAGACCAGACCCAGCUGCUAUUGCAUAGGUGUCUAUGGGAGACCCACCCUGUUAAGUACACCGGAACGGACCUUUUGUUUUCAAUGGUAAACGACCUGAGUGAAUUAUCUUCAUUUGUCCACCA